UGGGGAAUAUUGCACAAUGGGGGAAACCCUGAUGCAGCGACGCCGCGUGGGUGAGGAAGUACCUCGGUAUGUAAAGCCCUAUCAGCAGGGAAGAAACAGACAGUACCUGACUAAGAAGCCCCGGCUAACUACGUGCCAGCAGCCGCGGUAAUACGUAGGGGGCAAGCGUUAUCCGGAUUCACUGGGCGUAAAGGGAGCGCAGGCGGCACGGCAAGUCUGAUGUGAAAGCCCGGGGCUCAACCCCGGUACUGCAUUGGAAACUGCCGGGCUGGAGUGUCGGAGGGGUAAGCGGAAUUCCUAGUGUAGCGGUGAAAUGCGUAGAUAUUAGGAGGAACACCAGUGGCGAAGGCGGCUUACUGGACGACUACUGACGCUGAGGCUCGAAAGCGUGGGGAGCAAACAGG
rnacentral:rRNA from 1 species